GCCUGCAUAGCUCAGUGGUAGAGCAUCGGUUUUGUAAACCGGGGGUCGGGAGUUCAAAUCUCUCUGCAGGCU
rnacentral:tRNA from 1 species